rnacentral:rRNA from 1 species
CAGCCGCCGCGGGAAUACGUAGGUGGCAAGCGUUGUCCGGAAUUAUUGGGCGUAAAGGGCUCGCAGGCGGUUUCUUAAGUCUGAUGUGAAAGCCCCCGGCUCAACCGGGGAGGGUCAUUGGAAACUGGGAAACUUGAGUGCAGAAGAGGAGAGCGGAAUUCCACGUGUAGCGGUGAAAUGCGUAGAGAUGUGGAGGAACACCAGUGGCGAAGGCGACUCUCUGGUCUGUAACUGACGCUGAGGAGCAAAAGCGUGGGGAGCGAACAGGAUUAGAUACCCCCGUAGUCCCUGUCUCUUAUAC